GGUGGAGAGUAUUGGGAGAAAAUCACGAUUAACAGCUCCAAGCCGUUUAUUACGUUUUAUGGGGAUCCAGGGGAUAUGCCCAAGAUUGUGUUUAACGGGACGGCGUCGCAGUAUGGCACGGUCUACAGCGCCACCGUGGCCGUAGAGAGCAAUUACUUUAUGGCCGUGAAUGUGGCGUUUGUGAAUGCAGCUCCAAUGCCAGAUGUGAA
rnacentral:misc_RNA from 1 species